rnacentral:rRNA from 1 species
AUGAACGCUGGCGGCGUGCCUAAUACAUGCAAGUCGAGCGAACAGAUGAGGAGCUUGCUCCUCUGACGUUAGCGGCGGACGGGUGAGUAACACGUGGAUAACCUACCUAUAAGACUGGGAUAACUUCGGGAAACCGGAGCUAAUACCGGAUAAUAUAUUGAACCGCAUGGUUCAAUAGUGAAAGACGGUUUUGCUGUCACUUAUAGAUGGAUCCGCGCCGCAUUAGCUAGUUGGUAAGGUAACGGCUUACCAAGGCAACGAUGCGUAGCCGACCUGAGAGGGUGAUCGGCCACACUGGAACUGAGACACGGUCCAGACUCCUACGGGAGGCAGCAGUAGGGAAUCUUCCGCAAUGGGCGAAGGCCUGACGGAGCAACGCCGCAUGAGUGAUGAAGGUCUUCGGAUCGUAAAACUCUGUUAUUAGGGAAGAACAAAUGUGUAAGUAACUAUGCACGUCUUGACGGUACCUAAUCAGAAAGCCACGGCUAACUACGUG